rnacentral:misc_RNA from 1 species
GAAAUGCGAUAAUUAAUGUUAAUUUCAGAAUUCAGUGAAUCAUCGAAUCUUUUAACUCACCUUGCGCUCCUUGGUAUUCCUUGGAGCAUGCCUGUUUGAGUAUCAUGAAAUCUUCAAAGUAAAUCUUUUGUUAACUCAAUUGGUUUCUACUUUGGUAUUGGAGGUCUUUGCAGCUUCACACCUGCUCCUCUUUGUUCAUUAGCUGGAUCUCAGUGUUAUGCUUGGUUCCACUCGGCGUGAUAAGUUAUCUAUCGCUGAGGACACUGUAAAAGGUGGCCAAGGUAAAUGCAGAUGAACCGCUUCUAAUAGUCCAUUGACUUGGACAAUACUUUUAUGAUCUGAUCUCAAAUCAGGUAGGACUACCCGCUGAACUUAAGC